rnacentral:lncRNA from 1 species
AGUUGGUCAUUUUUGUACACCCACAGUGGUACCUUUUACAGUCAGGUUUGGAUACUUUGCAGCUCAUCCAAAGAGACAUAACUAAACCCUAAACUCUUUUUUUGUUGUUGUUGUUGUUGUUUUUUUUUUUUAUGAUUAAAAAGUAAAAAUUGUAGUUUAAAAAAUCCUUUCCUCUUUCAUACAAAUAAGAAAUGGAAAUUGCUCGUUUAUUGUAUAAGAUAGAAGAUUCGUUUAAAGUGUUUCCCCACCCCCACCCCCAGCUUGUAAAAGAUUUUAUGUAAGAAAUGUGCUUACACUUUGUAUUUUAUUUUUAGCAGCAGCUAAAAGGCCUGUAGUUUUACUCUCUCUCUCCUCUCUCUCUCUCUCUCUCUCUCUCUCCCUCUCUCCUCUCUGUCUUCAUCAUCUUUGAGAUCAUUAGAGCCUGUAUAAAGGGGAUUAUGGCCCUGCCUUCUAUGUCACACAUAGGAUUUGGUGUCAUUAGUGUUUGCUGUCAUGCCCCAUGAGUAGCUCCUUACUUGGUCUGCUCAGGGCAUCCUAGGGAAUGUUCCUUUCCCCCACUCCUCCCUCCCUACCGUGGUGGAUUCCCAGCUGGCAGAUGGCCAAGCUCAGGGCCACUGUGAUCUUGGCAGCCCUCCUGUUUAAGGGGCUGCCACCCUCCCUUACAGGGUGGUGUAUAGCCAGGGCUAUACAAAAAGGGUGGCUAGUGACCUUUUCUCUCUCUUCUCUCUCUCUUCUCUCUUCUCUCUUCCCUUGAUCUUCCUUGGCCUGGCCCAUUCUGCUCUUUACAGUGCCAGAUAUUUAUACAUCAUAAACUUAGGAAAUGCCUAAAAGAGCCUAAGCAGGAAAAAUCCUAGGGUGAGGCAAUGUUUGCAUGAUGAGAGAGGAAGGGUUUGCCAUAGAGAGCUGAAAUGGGGAUUUAGACUGAUGUGUGCAUUGGCUGAGCUGAACCUUGGUCUCUUGAUGUCCCUGGAGAGCUGAGGUCGAGACCCCAUUCAUGCAGGAGGAGGAAGAAGGAAGUGUCCAGUCACAUCCUUAGUUCUCAGAGGACUUUAUUUUCCUCUCUACCUACUCUUUUGGGUGUCACUGUCUCCAGACAGCAGGGCCCUUUGUCUCUGAGAAAUUAGCCAUCCAGAAUAGAAUCUGUAACAAGAGACAUGGGACAUAAGCCAGAGAACUCAAACAGCCCUUUAAAGGAGCUCUCGGCAACCAACACUGCCACUCUAUGAGAAAACCCUCUGCCCUUUACUGCUGCUGGCUUGCCGUCUGGGAUGCUCAGUAGAGUCAAGGGACCCAGCAGAGAUGCAUGAGACAAGAUGGAUUGCGAGCAAUUAGUGGAUGUGUGCACUUUUUGUUCAGAGUUUAAGGCUAGGAUAUUGGUUUUUCCCACUGACUGAGCUGUCCUGCAAACCAGUCAAUACCUUAUGGUUAUGUCUGAAGGUUUUAAAUAGUGGUUGACCCAACACCUUGGACUGAAAUUUUGAAAAGUUUUGAAAAAAGACUGCUAGACUUAGAGAGAGAAGCCAGAACAAAUUCCGCUGGUUAUAUUUUCUACCUUGUAAACAGGUCAGCACCCCCACUACUCUUUUUAAAAUCACUUUAGUGAUGGAGAUGUCUUGCAAAGAUGUAGAGAACAAGGCCUCUUUUCCCUAGAUGAGACCUGAGGAACCCAGUUGCCCCUUCCCCCCACCCCCUUUACAGCUCCCAACUUGGGUCCUGUAAAUGGAGGUGUCAUUGCCAUCACCAUCGCCAGCAUUGAGGAAGAGCCUCUGAAGUGUCAGGACUUUGCAGUGUAGCUCAUGCAAAGAGAGUGUUCUAUAAAAAUCUUGACAGCUGAACUCAGUUGCUCUUUCCUGGCAGGAGGUGGGGGUGGGAUCUAACAUGAGUGCAGGCAAAAUUAGAUAACCAUUCGGUUCAUAGAAAUGAUUCCAUGCCUUGGGAAGACAGAUUUGGGGCCACAUUGUUUACAAACUAUACACACCAGGUUAAUAGACACCCCGUCUUAAGCACCAGCUCCUCUUGGGUGCCCCCAGAGCCCCUGCAACUGUUAUCCACAUACAACAGGGAUAUCGGACUGCUUUCUUCUUCCGGCUGGUACAGAAUCUGUGUCCAUCAUUUUUCACUACAGGUCUUGUUAAAAUUCUUUGCAGCACUUCGUGUCCCCUCACGUCCCAUGUGCUCAGACCCAGAAAAAGCAGAACAGAAUUAGAAGUGCCUCUGAGCCUUGUGAAGUGUGUGCGCAAGCCCCCAUGGAGAAAUGGAGACAUCUUGUCCCCACCUGAGGAGUGGACAUCUGCCUGAUUCUUGCCAACACGAGGGGUGGAAAUGGGAGAAAAAGCUUUUAGUUGCUAAUUUGUUUCCGCUGAGCCAAGUGUUUGAGAAACCUGGACUAGAGCUUAGCACUCCCACUUGCAGCCUGGCAGGACCUGUGGAGCCAUUAACGGCGGGGGUCUUAGCGAGAACCACUUCAUUAGAGCACUUGCUGCAGAGGCAGAGAGCAGAGCCGCCAGGAUAAAUUCUGCUUCCACCCCACAAAGGCAGUCACAGGAGAGAGUGGAGAGAGCAGUAAGGAGGCCACUGGAAGGAGCCAGACACAGAUUCUGGUUCAUUCAUUCAUUCAUUCCUUAGACAUUUUCGGUUUUACAAAGGAAGAACAGGUUUCCUAAGGCCGAGGAAAUCUUGGAGAAUAAAAAAGGACUUGGAAAACAAGUCUUAGUAGUCAUUCAGAGGACUCAAGUACUAGUGCUAGGUCUCUUUCCUUCCACUCUCUCUCUCUCUCUCUCUCUCUCUCUCUCUCUCUCUCUCUCUCCUAAGUACUUAUUCAUGCCUCUGAUGUGCCUUGUAUCUGAAUCCAGGAUGGCAGAGAUCCCCUGUCCCUGGAAGGUGUCAUAUAUUACUAGCUAGUAUUAGGUUGAAGUUGGGGGUGGGGGCUUUCUCCGUAGGCUUGGGGAUGGUUCCCUCAAAGUGAGCCACUAUUAGAUUUGCCCAUCAGGGGAAAAGAAAUGGGGUUAUAUCCAUUAGGAAAAUCCCAUUUUAUAGAUAGAGGUGCAAUCACAUAAAAAUGUGGCCAGGCAGGAUUAAAGGUAUUCUAAAUCCUUACCACGGGGCAUUUUCUGGAUGCAAAGGCACUAGCCCAUUUGAAAAUUAAUAUUCCGUGCCUCUGGGCCAAGAGGUCAGCUUUCUGCACGAGGAGAAAAACAGUAACUGCUGUUUGUUACAGCCUGAAAUCCAGGACGACCGCAUUUUCUCUUGGUUUCUAAAAGGAAGGGAAUCUUCCCGAUUUUUCUAAGAUGUUGAGUAUUGUGUAAGUAAGCUUUGAGUCUUUGAACCUGAUUGAAAUGCAAAGCAAGGGUGACUCAUUGUUAGGAGAAGUAAAGGCCACGGAAGGUAUGGUAGUUUCUGGAGUCCUAUCUGAGAACUCACAGAUUGUCUUUGCCUCUCUAGGCAGAAACAGAGCUACCCACUGCAGCGGCCUGACUGUGCAGCACUCAGCUCUUUGGCUCUCUCUGAAAUGCCCGUCUCAUCCUGUCUUUUUCGAGCAUGGCUCACAGGCCUUGUGUCUGGGUGAAGGGAACCCAGGGUCAGGCUGCACUUCUGUUUCUGUCUUUUGCUCAACAGCGGGGUGUGCACUCGUGGCUGCACAGAUGAAGCCCAUGCUGAGUCUGUGGGAACACCCACACUCAGUGCACCCUGUGGGUGACCCUCCCUACACAGUGCAGAGCAGAGCCCAGGAGGGGCCACAGGCAUCAGUGAACUCUCCUUGCCUAGGAUGGCAACUGAUUUUGCUCUCUUUGGAAAGAUUCUAGAUAAGUCAGCAUUGUUUAAAUCCAAGUGCAGUGCAAGUCUGUGAACUGAUCUGUUGCACUGUCUUAUGGCUUCUUAUUCUUCAUCAUAGCUAAUUAAAUACC